rnacentral:rRNA from 1 species
GGGCUGGCGGCAGCUACACAUGCAGUCGAGCGGAUGAGGAGAGCUUGCUCCUCUAAUUCAGCGGCGGACGGGUGAGUAAUGCCUAGGAAUCUGCCUGGUAGUGGGGGACAACGUUUCGAAAGGAACGCUAAUACCGCAUACGUCCUACGGGAGAAAGUGGGGGAUCUUCGGACCUCACGCUAUCAGAUGAGCCUAGGUCGGAUUAGCUAGUUGGUGGGGUAACGGCUCACCAAGGCGACGAUCCGUAACUGGUCUGAGAGGAUGAUCAGUCACACUGGAACUGAGACACGGUCCAGACUCCUACGGGAGGCAGCAGUGGGGAAUAUUGGACAAUGGGCGAAAGCCUGAUCCAGCCAUGCCGCGUGUGUGAAGAAGGCCCUCGGGUCGUAAAGCACUUUAAGCUGGGAGGAAGGGUUGUAACCUAAUACGUUGCAGCUUUGACGUUACCAGCAGAAUAAGCACCGGCUAACUCUGUGCCAGCAGCCGCGGUAAUACAGAGGGUGCAAGCGUUAAUCGGAAUUACUGGGCGUAAAGCGCGCGUAGGUGGCUUGGUAAGUUGAAUGUGAAAUCCCCGGGCUCAACCUGGGAACUGCAUCCAAAACUGCCUGGCUAGAGUACGGUAGAGGGUGGUGGAAUUUCCUGUGUAGCGGUGAAAUGCGUAGAUAUAGGAAGGAACACCAGUGGCGAAGGCGACCACCUG